rnacentral:lncRNA from 1 species
AUAUUUCCUAAUGUCAUUUGUACUAAAUAAUUCACUAGUACUCACUAAAGGAGAACUUGAACCUAUGUACUUGUGUAAACCUUUCACAAUUAAUGAGAACUUCUCUACUCCGUGGACGUAGCCAAUCUGGGUGAACCACGUACAUCUUGUGUUUGCUUUCCUGUCUCUAUCCAUUUACAUACUUAUCCACACUAGUGACCGGAUCAAUCUAGCGAAGGUCACAAACUUGACACUUUCUGUUGUACCAAAGUCCUCACUGAUUUUGUGCAUCAACAUCAUUAAUUUAAAUGCAUAUAGAGGCAUAAGGUAGCUUAGCAACUA